GUUUAAGCUGUAAUAAGAAAAUAUAUAACAUAUAUAAGAAUCUUAAAGUUGCAGUUAGAAAAAAGCAUAAUCAUGUAGGAGAAAUUGCUGGUUUGACAAGAUUAUAUGAGAAUAUGGACAGUGUAUAUGAUGAUUCUGAAGUUGGCACAUCAGCGCUCGACCUACCUGGUGAUGCAGCUUUGAUGGAUGCAACCUAACAUUCUCAAAUGGAUCGAAUCUAAGACAACACAUAAAACUACCUAUUUUCAAGACAAGCCUUUCGUGUGCAACCUUUUUGGGUAUGGAAUGAGCUUUUCGUUUAAGCAUGUUAGAGAUAACCAUGAGAAUCCGGGAGAUAUGUUUACAUGUUGGUAAGAACUUGCUGUUGAUUCACUUGUACUUUGUUUGGUAUAACAUGUUCGUUCAUCUAUUUUAAUCAUGUUACAAAAUAAAAUGCGCAUUUUUUGUCAUAAUAGGGAGAUUUUUAUCGAAGCUGGUGCUGAAUUUGAAUAAAGGCCAAGGGGUGGUGUGCAAGGAAAUUGUUAGCCAUGAUACACUCUUAUGAGUAAGAGAAUACUCACCGUUGAUGAAUCUAACCACAUUAAAGGUCGGAGAUGAAGUUUUCCUCAAAAGCAUUCUAAACUCUACCGAGACUGUAGCAAGAGGAAGGGUCCAGAGCUUGGACCCAAAUGAUAUAGUUGGUGGUACAGAGAUUGGAUCAGAAUGGUGUGAGGUAAAUGUUAAAGUACCAAUAAAAAAAGAUGAAAACUUGGUAAGAUCAUAUGGUUUAUUUUCUACAAUUCAAGAUUGUAUUGGUGCAUCCAUCGCAUGGUCCUAUACAUUCAUCUCGGUAUGUAUUUGUUAAACUUGUGAUACACAUAAUUUUAAUAUCAUGGA